ACAUAAACAUUUAAAAAAAAACCCAACCACUGCCCUGCAAUGUGGCAACAGUAAUGGUUUGGAUGUGAAAAUUGGCUAGACUUUCCAAAAGGAAAAUCCUGUAUAUGAAGACUUGUUUAGGGGGAAAAAAAUUAUUGGACUAAUUAGACUUCCUACUCCUGCAUAUUUGAGUCAACAGACAUUGUGUACUGCUUCCUUGGCAAAACCAUGCAAAGAGGAUCAGACAGAACUUUGGCUUCCCUACCUUCCUAACAGACUGGAAUUUCGGAAGGGAGAGUUGUAUGUUUUUACAUCUGACUUCAAUUAUUUAUUUUAUGAACCAUUCCUAACACAGGAUUGGCACCAAAACAAACAAAUAAAUCUAGCUUUUACUUUGAUUCAGUGAUUGUAUUAUUAUUAUGAAGUUUAAAGGAUUUAAAACUGUGUGUAUAUUACUAGUGAAUUCAUAUGAAUUUCGUUCAACUAGUGGUCCUUCUAUUGAGAAUUUCUAUUUUCAGUAGCACAAACUCAACAAAACUGAUAAUUUUAAAGAAAAAUUGCUACUGAAGGAGCCAAAACAAUAAAAGGUUCAAAUAUUGAGUGCUUC
rnacentral:lncRNA from 7 species